rnacentral:rRNA from 1 species
CAAAAACAUCGCCUUCUGCAAAAAUCAAUAUAUAGAAGGUCCUGCCUGCCCAGUGACUCUAAGUUAAACGGCCGCGGUAUUUUGACCGUGCAAAGGUAGCGCAAUCACUUGUCUUUUAAAUAAAGACCUGUAUGAAUGGUGAAACGAGAGCUUAACUGUCUCCCCCAUCUAGUCAAUGAAAUUGAUCUACCCGUGCAGAAGCGGGUAUAAUUAUACAAGACGAGAAGACCCUUUGGAGCUUAAGAUAAAAGACCAAUUAUGUCAAAAGUUCAGAAAAUAACUAAACCAAAUAACAAUGGUCCAUAUCUUCGGUUGGGGCGACCACGGGAGAAAAUAAAGCUCCCAUGCGGACUGGGAAAAAAUUCCUAAAAUUAAGAGAGACAUCUCUAAAAAACAGAAAAUCUGACCAAAAGAUCCGGCUACAUGCCGACCAACGAACCAAGUUACCCUAGGGAUAACAGCGCAAUCCCCUUCCAGAGUCCAUAUCGACAAGGGGGUUUACGACCUCGAUGUUGGAUCAGGACAUCCUAAUGGUGCAGCCGCUAUUAAGGGUUC